UUUGUACUUGUUUUGAACUUGUGUACAAGAGGGAAGAAGGUUCUAAAUUCUGACUUAGUUUGGGCUUCUUUUUCAUGGGCCCAAGUUUUAUUUUCCUUUUCACUAAUCACCUUGCUCUUGCACCCCCAAUUAAAUUGUUGAAAGACUUUGGGCUUCAUCAUUGGGCCCCUUGCGUUUUUUUUCCUUUCAUGGGUGCAUACCUUGUUUGCUGUCUGCACCCCUCCCUUUUUUU
rnacentral:lncRNA from 1 species